rnacentral:rRNA from 1 species
AGAGUUUGAUCCUAGCUCAGGAUAAACGCUGGCGGCAGGCUUCAUACAUGCAAGUCGAGGGGCAGCAGUGUACUUUUGUACAGCUGGCGACCGGCAGACGGGUGCGUAACACGUAUAUAAUCUACCUCGUACUGGAGAAUAGCUUUUGGCAACAAAAAUUAAUGCUCCGUAUAAUCUUUUUAUCGCAUGAUAAUAAGAUGAAAGCUCCGGCGGUACAAGAUGAGUAUGCGUCCUAUUAGCUAGUUGGUAAGGUAACGGCUUACCAAGGCAACGAUGGGUAGGGGAUCUGAAAGGAUGUACCCCCACACUGGCACUGAGAUACGGGCCAGACUUCUACGGAAGGCAGCAGUAGGGAAUAUUGGUCAAUGAGCGCAAGCUUGAACCAGCCAUGCCGUGUGCAGGAAGAAGGCCCAUUGGGUUGUAAACUGCUUUUGUACGGGAGAAAUAAACUUCUGCGGAAGUUGAAUUGAUAGUACCGUAAGAAUAAGCACCGGCUAACUCCGUGCCAGCAGCCGCGGUAAGACGGAGGGUGCAAGUGUUAUCCGGAUUCAUUAGGUUUAAAGGGUACGUAGGCGGUUUAGUAAGUCAUUGGUGAAAACUAGCAGCUCAACUGUUAGCUUGCCAUUGAUACUACUAGACUUGAGUAUAGUCUAGGUGGGCGGAAUUCCACAUGUAGCGGUGAAAUGCGUAGAUAUGUGGAGGAACGCCAAUAACGAAGGUAGCUCACUGGGCUAUUACUGACGCUGAGGUACGAAAGUGUGGGGAGCGAAUAGGAUUAGAUACCCUAGUAGUCCACACUGUAAACGAUGGUCACUCGAUGUAUACUCUUUUGAGGGUAUGUGUCCAAGCGAAAGCGUUAAGUGACCCACCUGGGGAGUACGCUCGCAAGAGUGAAACUUAAAGGAAUUGACGGGAUCCGCACAAGCGGUGGAGCAUGUGGUUUAAUUCGUUGAUACUCGAUGAACCUUACCUAGGCUCAAACGUAAGUUGACAUACUAAGAAAUUAGUGUUUCCGCAAGGACAACUUACGAGGUGUUGCAUGGCUGUCGUCAGCUCGUGCCGUGAGGUGUUGGGUUAAGUCCUAUAACGAGCGCAACCCCUAUGCUUAGUUGCCAGCACAUUAUGGUGGGGACUCUAAGCAAACUGCCUGCGGAAGCAGGAGGAAGGUGGGGAUGAGGUCAAGUCAUCAUGGCCCUUAUGUCUAGGGCUACACACGUGCUACAAUGGCGUGUACAGCGGGUUGCUACCUGGCAACAGGAUGCUAAUCCCUUAAAACACGUCCCAGUUCGGAUUGAGGUCUGCAAUUCGACCUCAUGAAGUCGGAAUCGCUAGUAAUCGCGUGUCAGCAUAGCGCGGUGAAUACGUUCCCGGAUCUUGUACACACCGCCCGUCAAGCCAUGGGAGUUAGGGGAACUUGAAGACAGUUACUGUAAAAGGGGCUGUUUAGGGUUAAACUAGCGACUGGGGUUAAGUCGUAACAAGGUA